rnacentral:tRNA from 1 species
GGGGGUAUAGCUUAGAUGGUAAAGCAACGGUCUUCAAAACCGUAGAUCACGGGUUCAAUUCCUGUUGCCCUCGCCU